UAGGGAAUCUUCGGCAAUGGGGGGAACCCUGACCGAGCAACGCCGCGUGAGUGAAGAAGGUUUUCGGAUCGUAAAGCUCUGUUGUUAAGGAAGAACGAGUGUGAGAAUGGAAAGUUCAUACUGUGACGGUACUUAACCAGAAAGGGACGGCUAACUACGUGCCAGCAGCCGCGGUAAUACGUAGGUCCCGAGCGUUGUCCGGAUUUAUUGGGCGUAAAGCGAGCGCAGGCGGUUAGAUAAGUCUGAAGUUAAAGGCAGUGGCUCAACCAUUGUAGGCUUUGGAAACUGUUUAACUUGAGUGCAGAAGGGGAGAGUGGACUUCCAUGUGUAGCGGUGAAAUGCGUAGAUAUAUGGAGGAACACCGGUGGCGAAAGCGGCUCUCUGGUCUGUAACUGACGCUGAGGCUCGAAAGCGUGGGGUGCGAACAGG
rnacentral:rRNA from 1 species